rnacentral:tRNA from 1 species
UAGAAGUUAAANCUUUUCUUACCUGCC